UACGGGGGGAGCAAGCGUUGUUCGGAUUUACUGGGCGUAAAGGGCGCGUAGGCGGUCGUGACAAGUCACUUGUGAAAUCUCCGGGCUUAACUCGGAACGGUCAAGUGAUACUGUCGGACUAGAGUACAGAAGGGGCAACUGGAAUUCUCGGUGUAGCGGUGAAAUGCGUAGAGAUCGGGAGGAACACCAAAGGCGAAAGCACUCUGCUGGGCCGCAACUGACACUGAGAGACGAAAGCGAGGGGAGCAAAUGGG
rnacentral:rRNA from 1 species